GGGGGGGGGGUCUUAUUUACCAAAGGGAUUGAUGUUAACAAAAAAACAAAAAAACAAAAAAAACGACUGAGGAGUCCAUCAAGGUAGACACAGUUAUAUCUGUAAAAACUACCUUGAACGUUUGGAGAUGUCCACUGGCCUGGAUGCGUUAGGUCGCGGCGCCGCUUUGAGUCCAAGGACAAUUUCUCUUGCGUUUUAUCUACCACUGGAAAGGACAUAAAUGACUAGUUAGUACCAUAGACGGAAGCAGUGUUCGAAAGUCCAUCGAUAUGUAACGUACCAUUGUCUA
rnacentral:lncRNA from 1 species